rnacentral:tRNA from 1 species
GUGGAAAUAGCUCAGUGGUAGAGCACAUGCUUAGCAUGCAUGAGGUCCUGGGUUCAAUCCCCAGUAUCUCCA